rnacentral:misc_RNA from 1 species
GUGGGAGGGGGCGUGCUCCCGAUGGCUGAGUGUCAGUCAGCUUAUGGGUAGCUGACACACCCUCAUCGGGAGCAAGCCCCCUCCCAC